rnacentral:tRNA from 2 species
GGAGGGGUUCCCGAGUGGCCAAAGGGAGCAGACUGUAAAUCUGCCGGCUCCGCCUUCGAUGGUUCGAAUCCGUC